rnacentral:rRNA from 1 species
GGAUCUUCCACGAUGGACGAAAGUCUGAUCGGAGCACGCCGCGUGAGUGAUGAAGGUUUUCGGAUCGUAAAACUCUGUUGUAAGGGAAGAACAAGUACGUUAGGAAAUGAACGUACCUUGACGGUACCUUAUUAGAAAGCCACGGCUAACUACGUGCCAGCAGCCGCGGUAAUAA